rnacentral:rRNA from 1 species
UUAAGCGACUAAGCGUACACGGUGGAUGCCCUGGCAGUCAGAGGCGAUGAAGGACGUGCUAAUCUGCGAUAAGCGUCGGUAAGGUGAUAUGAACCGUUAUAACCGGCGAUUUCCGAAUGGGGAAACCCAGUGUGAUUCGUCACACUAUCAUUAACUGAAUCCAUAGGUUAAUGAGGCGAACCGGGGGAACUGAAACAUCUAAGUACCCCGAGGAAAAGAAAUCAACCGAGAUUCCCCCAGUAGCGGCGAGCGAACGGGGAGCAGCCCAGAGCCUGAAUCAGUGUGUGUGUUAGUGGAAGCGUCUGGAAAGGCGCGCGAUACAGGGUGACAGCCCCGUACACAAAAAUGCACAUACUGUGAGCUCGAUGAGUAGGGCGGGACACGUGGUAUCCUGUCUGAAUAUGGGGGGACCAUCCUCCAAGGCUAAAUACUCCUGACUGACCGAUAGUGAACCAGUACCGUGAGGGAAAGGCGAAAAGAACCCCGGCGAGGGGAGUGAAAAAGAACCUGAAACCGUGUACGUACAAGCAGUGGGAGCACGCUUAGGCGUGUGACUGCGUACCUUUUGUAUAAUGGGUCAGCGACUUAUAUUCUGUAGCAAGGUUAACCGAAUAGGGGAGCCGAAGGGAAACCGAGUCUUAACUGGGCGUUAAGUUGCAGGGUAUAGACCCGAAACCCGGUGAUCUAGCCAUGGGCAGGUUGAAGGUUGGGUAACACUAACUGGAGGACCGAACCGACUAAUGUUGAAAAAUUAGCGGAUGACUUGUGGCUGGGGGUGAAAGGCCAAUCAAACCGGGAGAUAGCUGGUUCUCCCCGAAAGCUAUUUAGGUAGCGCCUCGUGAAUUCAUCUCCGGGGGUAGAGCACUGUUUCGGCAAGGGGGUCAUCCCGACUUACCAACCCGAUGCAAACUGCGAAUACCGGAGAAUGUUAUCACGGGAGACACACGGCGGGUGCUAACGUCCGUCGUGAAGAGGGAAACAACCCAGACCGCCAGCUAAGGUCCCAAAGUCAUGGUUAAGUGGGAAACGAUGUGGGAAGGCCCAGACAGCCAGGAUGUUGGCUUAGAAGCAGCCAUCAUUUAAAGAAAGCGUAAUAGCUCACUGGUCGAGUCGGCCUGCGCGGAAGAUGUAACGGGGCUAAACCAUGCACCGAAGCUGCGGCAGCGACGCUUAUGCGUUGUUGGGUAGGGGAGCGUUCUGUAAGCCUGUGAAGGUGUACUGUGAGGUAUGCUGGAGGUAUCAGAAGUGCGAAUGCUGACAUAAGUAACGAUAAAGCGGGUGAAAAGCCCGCUCGCCGGAAGACCAAGGGUUCCUGUCCAACGUUAAUCGGGGCAGGGUGAGUCGACCCCUAAGGCGAGGCCGAAAGGCGUAGUCGAUGGGAAACAGGUUAAUAUUCCUGUACUUGGUGUUACUGCGAAGGGGGGACGGAGAAGGCUAUGUUGGCCGGGCGACGGUUGUCCCGGUUUAAGCGUGUAGGCUGGUUUUCCAGGCAAAUCCGGAAAAUCAAGGCUGAGGCGUGAUGACGAGGCACUACGGUGCUGAAGCAACAAAUGCCCUGCUUCCAGGAAAAGCCUCUAAGCAUCAGGUAACAUCAAAUCGUACCCCAAACCGACACAGGUGGUCAGGUAGAGAAUACCAAGGCGCUUGAGAGAACUCGGGUGAAGGAACUAGGCAAAAUGGUGCCGUAACUUCGGGAGAAGGCACGCUGAUAUGUAGGUGAAGUCCCUCGCGGAUGGAGCUGAAAUCAGUCGAAGAUACCAGCUGGCUGCAACUGUUUAUUAAAAACACAGCACUGUGCAAACACGAAAGUGGACGUAUACGGUGUGACGCCUGCCCGGUGCCGGAAGGUUAAUUGAUGGGGUUAGCGCAAGCGAAGCUCUUGAUCGAAGCCCCGGUAAACGGCGGCCGUAACUAUAACGGUCCUAAGGUAGCGAAAUUCCUUGUCGGGUAAGUUCCGACCUGCACGAAUGGCGUAAUGAUGGCCAGGCUGUCUCCACCCGAGACUCAGUGAAAUUGAACUCGCUGUGAAGAUGCAGUGUACCCGCGGCAAGACGGAAAGACCCCGUGAACCUUUACUAUAGCUUGACACUGAACAUUGAGCCUUGAUGUGUAGGAUAGGUGGGAGGCUUUGAAGUGUGGACGCCAGUCUGCAUGGAGCCGACCUUGAAAUACCACCCUUUAAUGUUUGAUGUUCUAAC